GACGAACGCUGGCGGCGUGCUUAACACAUGCAAGUCGAACGGAAAGGCCCUGCUUGCAGGGUACUCGAGUGGCGAACGGGUGAGUAACACGUGGGUGAUCUGCCCUGCACUUCGGGAUAAGCCUGGGAAACUGGGUCUAAUACCGGAUAGGAGCCAUUUUUAGUGUGAUGGUUGGAAAGUUUUUUCGGUGUAGGAUGAGCUCGCGGCCUAUCAGCUUGUUGGUGGGGUAAUGGCCUACCAAGGCGGCGACGGGUAGCCGGCCUGAGAGGGUGGACGGCCACAUUGGGACUGAGAUACGGCCCAGAUGCCGACGGGAGGCAGAAGUGGGGAAGAUUGCACAAUGGGCGCAAGCCUGAUGCAGCGACGCCGCGUGGGGGAUGACGGCCUUCGGGUUGUAAAAUCCGUUCGCUAGGGACGAAGCUUUUUGUGACGGUACCUAGAGAAGAAGCACCGGCUAACUACGUG
rnacentral:rRNA from 1 species